UGGCAUUUGCUGGUCACUCCUC
rnacentral:piRNA from 1 species